rnacentral:rRNA from 1 species
GACUAACGCUGGCGGCGUGCUUAACACAUGCAAGUCGAACGGUGAAAGCGGAGCUUGCUCCGCUGGAUCAGUGGCGAACGGGUGAGUAGCACGUGGGCAACCUGCCCCUCACUUCGGGAUAACUCCGGGAAACCGGGGCUAAUACCGGAUAUGACCUCCUUGGGCAUCCUUGGAGGUGGAAAGUUUUUCGGUGAGGGAUGGGCCCGCGGCCUAUCAGCUUGUUGGUGAGGUAGUGGCUCACCAAGGCGACGACGGGUAGCCGGCCUGAGAGGGCGACCGGCCACACUGGGACUGAGACACGGCCCAGACUCCUACGGGAGGCAGCAGUGGGGAAUAUUGCGCAAUGGGCGAAAGCCUGACGCAGCAACGCCGCGUGCGGGAUGACGGCCUUCGGGUUGUAAACCGCUUUCAGCAGGGAAGAAGCCGCAAGGUGACGGUACCUGCAGAAGAAGCACCGGCUAACUACGUGCCAGCCGCCGCGGUAA